rnacentral:rRNA from 1 species
UUGAUCCUGCCAGUAGUCAUAUGCUUGUCUCAAAGAUUAAGCCAUGCAUGUCUCAGUACAAGCCUCAUUAAGGUGAAACCGCGAAAGGCUCAUUAAAUCAGUUAUGGUUCCUUAGAUCGUACCCACAUUUACUUGGAUAACUGUGGUAAUUCUAGAGCUAAUACAUGCAAACAGAGUUCCGACCGGAGACGGGAGGAAUGCUUUUAUUAGAUCAAAACCAAUCGGCGGCGGGCGCGUCCGCGCGCCCGUUCGCCGCUCAACCUGGUGACUCUGAAUAACUUUCGGCUGAUCGCACGGUCCAGCACCGGCGACGCAUCUUUCAAAUGUCUGCCUUAUCAACUGUCGAUGGUAGGUUCUGCGCCUACCAUGGUCGUAACGGGUAACGGGGAAUCAGGGUUCGAUUCCGGAGAGGGAGCCUGAGAAACGGCUACCACAUCCAAGGAAGGCAGCAGGCGCGCAAAUUACCCACUCCCGGCACGGGGAGGUAGUGACGAAAAAUAACGAUACGGGACUCAUCCGAGGCCCCGUAAUCGGAAUGAGUACACUUUAAAUCCU